rnacentral:rRNA from 1 species
UACGGAGGGUGCAAGCGUUAUCCGGAUUCACUGGGUUUAAAGGGUGCGUAGGCGGACAGGUAAGUCAGUGGUGAAAUCUCUGGGCUUAACUCAGAAACUGCCGUUGAUACUAUUUGUCUUGAAUGUCAUGGAGGUAAGCGGAAUAUGUCAUGUAGCGGUGAAAUGCUUAGAUAUGACAUAGAACACCGAUAGCGAAGGCAGCUUAACUACAUGAAGAUUGACGCUGAGGCACGAAAGCGUGGGGAGCAAACAGG